GUGUCAACGGCGAGUUUGAUCUUGGCUCAGGACGAACGCUGGCGGCGUGCCUAAUACAUGCAAGUCGAGCGAGCUUGCCUAGAUGAUUUUAGUGCUUGCACUAAAUGAAACUAGAUACAAGCGAGCGGCGGACGGGUGAGUAACACGUGGGUAACCUGCCCAAGAGACUGGGAUAACACCUGGAAACAGAUGCUAAUACCGGAUAACAACACUAGACGCAUGUCUAGAGUUUGAAAGAUGGUUC
rnacentral:rRNA from 1 species